rnacentral:rRNA from 1 species
GUGCCAGCAGCCGCGGUAAUACGUAGGGUGCGAGCGUUAAUCGGAAUUACUGGGCGUAAAGCGCGCGCAGGCGGUUAGAUAAGUUUGAUGUGAAAUCCCCGGGCUCAACCUGGGAACUGCAUUGUAAGACUGUCUGACUAGAGUACGGCAGAGGGGGGUGGAAUUCCACGUGUAGCAGUGAAAUGCGUANAGAUGUGGAGGAACACCGAUGGCGAAGGCAGCCCCCUGGGUCGAUACUGACGCUCAUGCACGAAAGCGUGGGGAGCAAACAGGAUUAGAUACCCUGGUAGUCCACGCCCUAAACGAUGUCAACUAGUUGUUGGUAGGGUUAAACCUAUUAGUAACGUAGCUAACGCGUGAAGUUGACCGCCUGGGGAGUACGGUCGCAAGAUUAAAACUCAAAGGAAUUGACGGGGACCCGCACAAGCGGUGGAUGAUGUGGAUUAAUUCGAUGCAACGCGAAAAACCUUACCUACCCUUGACAUGUCAGGAAUCCCGAAGAGAUUUGGGAGUGCCGCAAGG